CUCCUGUUUGUGCUGGUAAUGGAGACCUUGGCUGAUAUGAUACGCUGCAGCGCAGAUAUCAAAGGUAUUGCAGUAGGGGGUAUGGAACAUAAAAUAGGCCUUUUUGCAGAUGACAUCAUGUUAUUGCUUAAAAAUCCAAUGACUUCACUAACUCGGUUGAUGUACAUUCUGCAGGAAUUCAACAAAAUUUCGUUCUAUAAAUUGAAUACAGCCAAAACUCAAGCUCUCUCUUUCUACAUACUUUGGUAUGAUUUAGACACUUUGAAAGGUCGGUUUGACUUCAAUUGGAGGGACUCUUAUAUCUCUUAUCUGUGCAUUAACCUUUGCAAGAACCUGUCCAAGAUGCAUUCUUAUAACACGGGUAAGGUCUGGUCAGACUUUAGGAACGAUCCUGAGAGAUGGUGUAGUCUGGAAAUUUCAUGAUUAGGUAGG